GAAGCCAGGCGCUGCUGAGGGAGAGAGCAACAUGUUGCGCACUUCUGAACAGCCUCCACCGUUUUCUGCUGUGCGUGCAUUUGCUGCUGCUGCUGCAGUGGAGUGUGAACGUCCAUCCACCUGGGAUCAGUGAAGAUCUUUUUUUUUUUUUCAUCCAUACCGGACAGGAUGCCAACAUAUAUGAGUGUCUGGGUGUCCUUUGGCCUCCUGUGCCCUCUGCUGCUGGCUGUGGCGGCAGCUGAGUGUUCAGAGAGAGAAACUCUGCUGAAGCCGAUUCCCAGCAGGGUGACACAGCCGUCAGAGUGUUUAAUGGAGUGCACUGGGAUGACAUACAUCAGAAAACUGCAGCUUCAGGACCAUCAUAAUAUACGGCUUACAGACUCCACAGAAGGGGACCUCGGGGAAUACUGCUGGUCUACUGAGCUGCAGUGCAGCAGUGGGGAGAGCUUCCACAGUGCCUAUGUGGUUUUGCCUGUGGACGUGUCUGCAGUUGGACACCAGCAGCUGAACGUCAAAGCCUCUGCUGACACGCUGCUGCACAUACACGACAGCCCCACGACAGUCCCAGAGAGCUGCGGCCUCCGCUACGAUGUCACACUGCACUUCACUUCUCAGAGCGCGGUGACGUCAUUCUGCAUCCAGGUCGUCACGCAGGAGGACGUCCUGGGGGACAAAUUACUGAAAUGUCCUCCGUAUCUGGUCACCUUCUGGCAGAGAGAUCUAAAUCAGUCCACCCAACAGGGUGCUGGAUAAAGAAUCAGGGGCAGAGAUGCAGUAAAAGUACUCACACCACCACUAAAGUAAAAGUACUAACCACUGACAGUAUGUAAAUAUAACCAGCACAUAUUAAGAGACAGUUGUUCUUCUCCAUAUUUUUUUUGUAUGUAUAAUUUUCAUGUGUCAGAUGAAAGCAGACUGUGAGGCUGAUGGUUUAAUUAAGAGACUUGUGGACGGUUCUUUACUAUCAUCAUCUGUUUUAUGUGAAUUUAUCUGCUGUGUGGUUCUGUUGUUGCCGUCACUGUUUAAGCUGCUGUGUGUUACCAGGUUCAUCUAGAUUCUGCAAGAACGGCACAUCUAGACUCUCUGCACUACGUUAUAUAGUCCAACUCUCUGUCUGUGAGCAUUUUAUCUGUCAUCUAUCAUUCAUAAUAUUAGGUUGAGUUAAGGCUGCGGGGGUC
rnacentral:lncRNA from 1 species